GAUGAACGCUGGCGGCGUGCCUAAUACAUGCAAGUCGAGCGAAGCGGGGACGGGUGAGUAACACGUGGAUAACCUCCUAUAAGACUGGGAUAACUUCGGGAAACCGGAGCUAAACCGGAUACUUAUAGAUGGAUCCGCGCGGCAUUAGCGAGUUGGUAAGUUAACGGCUUACAAAGGCAACGAUGCAUAGCCGACCUGAUAGGGUAACCGGCCAACCGGGACCUUGGACCGGGUCCAACCUCGUACGGGAGGAAGCAGAAGGGAGUCUUCCGCAAUGGGCGAAAGCCUGACAGAGAAAGCCGGCGUGAGUGAUGAAGGUCUUCGGAUCGUAAGACUCUGUUAUUAGGGAAGCGGUAACUAAUCAGAAAGCCACGGCUAACUACGUGCCAGCAGCCGCGGUAAUAC
rnacentral:rRNA from 1 species